GAUGCGUUGUUGGGUAGGGGAGCGUUCUGUAAGCCUGUGAAGGUGGCCUGUGAGGGUUGCUGGAGGUAUCAGAAGUGCGAAUGCUGACAUAAGUAACGAUAAAGCGGGUGAAAAGCCCGCUCGCCGGAAGACCAAGGGUUCCUGUCCAACGUUAAUCGGGGCAGGGUGAGUCGACCCCUAAGGCGAGGCCGAAAGGCGUAGUCGAUGGGAAACGGGUUAAUAUUCCCGUACUUGGUGUUACUGCGAAGGGGGGACGGAGAAGGCUAUGUUGGCCGGGCGACGGUUGUCCCGGUUUAAGCGUGUAGGCGGGUGUUCCAGGUAAAUCCGGAACGCUGUUAACGCUGAGGCGUGAUGACGAGGCACUACGGUGCUGAAGCAACAAAUGCCCUGCUUCCAGGAAAAGCCUCUAAGCAUCAGGUAACAUCAAAUCGUACCCCAAACCGACACAGGUGGUCAGGUAGAGAAUACCAAGGCGCUUGAGAGAACUCGGGUGAAGGAACUAGGCAAAAUGGUGCCGUAACUUCGGGAGAAGGCACGCUGACACGUAGGUGAAGUGAUUUACUCAUGGAGCUGAAGUCAGUCGAAGAUACCAGCUGGCUGCAACUGUUUAUUAAAAACACAGCACUGUGCAAACACGAAAGUGGACGUAUACGGUGUGACGCCUGCCCGGUGCCGGAAGGUUAAUUGAUGGGGUCAGCGCAAGCGAAGCUCCUGAUCGAAGCCCCGGUAAACGGCGGCCGUAACUAUAACGGUCCUAAGGUAGCGAAAUUCCUUGUCGGGUAAGUUCCGACCUGCACGAAUGGCGUAAUGAUGGCCAGGCUGUCUCCACCCGAGACUCAGUGAAAUUGAACUCGCUGUGAAGAUGCAGUGUACCCGCGGCAAGACGGAAAGACCCCGUGAACCUUUACUAUAGCUUGACACUGAACAUUGAGCCUUGAUGUGUAGGAUAGGUGGGAGGCUUUGAAGUGUGGACGCCAGUCUGCAUGGAGCCGGCCUUGAAAUACCACCCUUUAAUGUUUGAUGUUCUAACGUGGACCCGUAAUCCGGGUUGCGGACAGUGUCUGGUGGGUAGUUUGACUGGGGCGGUCUCCUCCUAAAGAGUAACGGAGGAGCACGAAGGUUGGCUAAUCCUGGUCGGACAUCAGGAGGUUAGUGCAAUGGCAUAAGCCAGCUUGACUGCGAGCGUGACGGCGCGAGCAGGUGCGAAAGCAGGUCAUAGUGAUCCGGUGGUUCUGAAUGGAAGGGCCAUCGCUCAACGGAUAAAAGGUACUCCGGGGAUAACAGGCUGAUACCGCCCAAGAGUUCAUAUCGACGGCGGUGUUUGGCACCUCGAUGUCGGCUCAUCACAUCCUGGGGCUGAAGUAGGUCCCAAGGGUAUGGCUGUUCGCCAUUUAAAGUGGUACGCGAGCUGGGUUUAGAACGUCGUGAGACAGUUCGGUCCCUAUCUGCCGUGGGCGCUGGAGAACUGAGGGGGGCUGCUCCUAGUACGAGAGGACCGGAGUGGACGCAUCACUGGUGUUCGGGUUGUCAUGCCAAUGGCACUGCCCGGUAGCUAAAUGCGGAAGAGAUAAGUGCUGAAAGCAUCUAAGCACGAAACUUGCCCCGA
rnacentral:rRNA from 1 species